GGCAUGUGAUUUGGUUCCAAUGAGAAGUGGGCAAAAGCACAGUGUUGGUACCUGGUUCCUUCACACAUCAGCCACCAUGUUUCCUAAAAUCAUACCGUUCGAGUGAUUGUCAAGUAACAAUAAUAAUAUAUAUUUGAUUCCUCAUUGGGUCACCUCCUGCAUGUUUAAUGAAUAUUACUUAAAGAACACACUCUUGAGGAGUGCUAUACAUGUGUCAUCUCGUACCUAAAAGUAUUUUGAAACGCACACUCACACAGUUCUAGUUAUUCAAGAUUCUCUGGCCCAACAGGUUGAAUAAGAUAUGGACUCGAGAUUCCACUGAACUAAAGAAUAUACUUUCAGUAGUUUCUCAGUGAGUUUCAAUUGAGUGUAAAAUAAGAUAUAUCCCAAGCCUUUGUAAAAAUGAUCUAAUAUUCAAAGCUGUAUGAAUAUGAUGACCUUGAUGAGAAAACAAUUUGUUGACAAAGAAAUUGCCAUACAUCUGAAGCACAAAAUAAUCCAUAGAUGUCAUCAUAUUUUGGCUAAAUUCAGAUAAUAUCAGAUAACAUUUUCAUGGUGCUGUAACCUGGGGCACAGUGUGUCACGUGCUGUGUGAGAAAACAAUAAAAUAACGCCGACCACGGUAAACAUGGAGAAGUAAGAGUUAAGACAAUCAGAUGAUGUCUAUUAUGGCGGAAAUGCGUGCUAUCUCUGCUGCCACUCCGCCUUGAUCAGUCCCAAACCCAAAAGUGCAUAGUCUCGUUUCAGACUGGUUUGACCAGUGAACAACAGGCGCCUAUAUCACCCUCUUCCGCUUGAAUGGGACGUACUUGACCGGUCGGGCCGGUAUGGACUUCAUUCCUUACCGAGUAACACUAUUUGUAUGAGCCUCAAACCAACAGCUUCUGUAUAUAAACUGUACCAAGUUGCUGAGAGAACCACAGUCAGACUUUAAACACUUGUAGUAGGCUGGAGAAGACUAACCUUCGUUAGUGAUGCGUUGUUGGCAGAGAUACGGUGUACUUCAUACCUGGACUUGCAACCUUUACGUUUUAACUAACUAAAUCGACCGGUACGACUUUUCCUCUUUGGUCAAGUGGUUCUUAACAGUUCAACAGUCUUCACCAAAAUUGUGAAAUGUUUAGGACCACUUGAUCAACGCAAAGGAACUCACAUCCCAUAACCGGAGGAAGAUGGUGGAGUGCGGAAGAUUUCUCUAAAGACGACUUUCAAAUAUGCACAAGUGAGCCGCACUGAAAAGCCUCGGGGCCUGUUAUAGCUUGGGUCCACGUAGCAGCCCAACAAAA